UUGAAGGAGACUACACAACUAUGCAAAGC
rnacentral:piRNA from 1 species